rnacentral:rRNA from 1 species
UACGAAGGGGGCUAGCGUUUCUCGGAAUUGCUGGGCGUAAAGGGCGCGUAGGCGGACCUGUCAGUCAGGCGUGAAAGCCCAGGGCUCAACCCUGGAACUGCGCUUGAUACUGCGGGUCUAGAGUGCCGGAGAGGAUGGUGGAAUUCCCAGUGUAGAGGUGAAAUUCGUAGAUAUUGGGAAGAACGCCGGUGGCGAAGGCGGCCAUCUGGACGGCAACUGACGCUGAGGCGCGAAAGCGUGGGGAGCAAACAGG